rnacentral:rRNA from 1 species
GUGAGGAAUAUUGGUCAAUGGGCGGAAGCCUGAACCAGCCAUCCCGCGUGAAGAAGGCGGCCCUAUGGGUUGUAAACUUCUUUAGUACAUGAAGAACAGGAUCUACGCGUAGGUUUAUGACGGUAAUGUACAAAAAAGCAUCGGCUAACUCCGUGCCAGCAGCCGCGGUAAUACGGAGGAUGCGAGCGUUAUCCGGAUUCAUUGGGUUUAAAGGGUACGUAGGUGGCCCUGUAAGUCAGUGGUGAAAAUCUGCCGCUUAACGGUAGGGGUGCCAAUGAUACUGCGGGGCUUGAGUACAGUUGAGGUAGGUGGAAUGUGUAGUGUAGCGGUGAAAUGCAUAGAUAUUACACAGAACUCCGAUUGCGAAGGCAUCUUACUAAGCUGAAACUGACACUGAUGUACGAAAGCGUGGGGAUCGAACAGGAUUAGAUACCCUAGUAGUCC